AUGGGUCGCGGGAAGAUCGAGAUCAAGCGGAUCGAGAACGCCACGAACCGGCAGGUGACCUUCUCCAAGCGCCGGGGCGGGCUGCUCAAGAAGGCCAACGAGCUCGCCGUGCUCUGCGACGCGCGCGUCGGCGUCGUCAUCUUCUCCAGCACCGGCAGGAUGUUCGAGUACUCCAGCCCCGCCUCCAGCUUGAGGGAUCUCAUUGAGCAGUACCAGAACGCCACCAACAGUCAGUUCGAGGAGAUUAACCACGAUCAGCAAAUAUUUGUGGAGAUGACACGGAUGAGGAACGAGAUGGAGAAGCUGGAUGGCGCCAUCCGGAGGUACACGGGCGACGACCUCUCCUCCCUCUCCCUCGCCGACGUCAACGACAUCGAGCAGCAGCUCGAGUUCUCCGUCGCCAAAGUCCGUGCAAGAAAGCAUCAGCUCCUGAACCAGCAGCUCGACAACUUACGUCGCAAGGAGCAUAUCUUGGAAGAUCAGAACAGUUUUCUGUGCCGCAUGAUCAGCGAGAACCAGCAUGGUGGUGACGGGAAGAUGGCGGUGAUGCCGCCGGUGCUGUCGAUGCUGACGCCGGCCUUCCCGGCGACGCCGUACUACACGGGCGAGGAGUCGUCGAGCACCGCGCUGCAGUUGACGUCCCCGCAGCUUCAGCUCCACGCCGCCGAAGCCGCCGGGUUCCGGCUGCAGCCGACGCAGCCCAACCUGCAAGACCCGGCGUGCAGCAGCCUCCACGCCGGCCACGGCCUCCACCUCUGA
rnacentral:rRNA from 1 species